rnacentral:lncRNA from 1 species
UGACACCGUCAACCACCGCCUCAACCUCUCUUUACUACACCGCCAGGACUCUCUCUUUCUUGCCUUUAACCCACCUUCUAACCUAGUCACCGACUAUAUAUCAAAUGCCUGUUAUUGGACUUGCUAAUGCCUCAGGGAUGGUCUGCUUGCUGUGCUUGUACUCUGAUGGCAACAUUUUAAUUUUCCGUUUGUCAUGCCUAGCUACUUUCUGGCGGUUGAAUGCCAUGCGUCAUAAUUAAUUAUACUUUUUUUUCUUUAUG